UUGAGUAACUUGCGCAGCGGUUUCAAGUUUUGCUGCUUUUCCUCAUGACUUCUUCAAAAUGAAAUAAUACCAGCAGUUUGGCAGUAAUUCAGCUUCGUUUUUCUGUUUACUCAUGUUCUCAUCUCACAUCUACCUCAUGACAAACUCUGCUUUGCCAAGGCAGCAUCAUGAGUACGCUCUCCAUCAGAAAAGGGACGGGCUCAUGAAAAACAUCACACAGAGUUCAAACGCACUCUGAAAGGGUUUGUCGUUUUACAAACCUCCCUUAUUUCCUUCAAAUGAGUCGCAUAACACGUCAGCAAAAGUGGCAGAAGACUAUCACCGAAGCUUUACAGGGGAUCCAGGCCUAAGUUGUGGAAGUGUUUUUGUAAGGUGUUUCAAGGAAACUCUGCUUGCUGGUUACCUGCAGCGAUGGAAGCCAGACGAACGUAGUCGGAGCCCCUCUCCUCUGGCUCAUAGGGGUAGCUCUCCACCAGACUCAGUCCUGGCAAAGGCAAGAAAAGCAAUUGAAUAUC